rnacentral:rRNA from 1 species
CCUUAUUGAUCAUGCCAGUAGUCAUAUGAUUGUCUCAAAGAUUAAACCAUGUAUUUGUAAUUAUGAACUAUUUCAAUUUGUGAAAUAGCGAAUGGCUCAUUAAAUUAGUUUUAGUAUAUUUGAUGGUAUGUGCUACUAAAAAAACCAUUGUAAUUCUAGAGCUAAUGCAUGCACCAAAACUCUGACUUCUGGAAGGGAUGCAUUUAUUAGGUAAUAUAUUGAUGUUGGCAUAUGUUCAUUUCUCUGAUGAUUCAUGAUAACUUGUCGAAUCACAGGACCAUUAUGUUGGCGAUGAAUCAUUCAAAUAUCUGCCCUAUCAACUUUUGAUGGUGGGAUAGGGGCACCAUGGUGGUGAUAGGCGAUAGAGAAUUGGGCUUUGAUUCUGGAGAGGGAGCCUGUUAGAUAGCUACCACAUUCAAGGAAGGCGGCAUGCACGUAAAUUACCCAAUCUUGAUAUGGGGAGGUAGUGAUAAUAAUUAAUAAUAUUGGGCUCUUCAAGCUGGUAAUUAGAAUGAGUACAAUUUAAAUCCCUUAUUGAGUAUCCUUGUAGGGCAAGUCUGGUGCUACCAACCAUGGUAAGUCUAGUUCUAAUAGCAUAUAUUUAAGUUGUUGUAGUUAAAAAGCUCGCAGUUGGACCUUGGGAAGGGUUGGUUGAUCUGCCUCAUAGUUUGUACCACCCACCUCGUCCCAUAUACUGGUGAUGUAUUCCUAUCAUUAGUUGCCCAAUUCAUGCCUCUGACACUGUUACUUUGACAAAAUUAGAGUGCUUAAAGAAAGUCCACGCUCUUGAUACAUUAGUCUGGGAAAACACCACAUGAUUUUAGUUCUAUUAUGUUUUCCUUUGGGAUCGGAGUAAUAAUUAAGAGGAAAGGUCCUAGGGCAUUCAUAUUUCAUAGUCAUAUAUGAAAUUCUUUGAUUUAUGAAAGAUGAACCACUACAAAAGCAUUUUCCAAGGAUUUUUUCAUUAAUUAAGAAUGAAAGUUGGGGGCUCAAAGACGAUUAGAUAUUAUCCUAGUCUCAACCAUAAAUGAUGUUAACAAGGGAUCGACGGAUGUUACAUUUAGGAGUCUACCAGCACCUUGUGAGAAAUUAUAGGUUUUGGGUUCCUUUAAAGUUGCAUUUUCAUUAAUCAAAGUGUAAAGAAAAAUACAUACAAAAAGUGCAACUAAGUAAGAGGUAUUCUAUCACUUUAAUCCCUCAAAAUAUUAAUAAAACUUGUGGGGACUUUGCUAUCUAGAAUAUCAUUCCACAAAAAAAUAGCCAAAAAAGUAAAAUGUAAAAAAAAAAAAAAGGUUGCUCCAUUACUUUAUCUUGGAAUAUGGUGAAAAAAGUCAUACUUAAAAUCAGUCAAAAAGGAAAUAUCCACUUUGAGAUGGGUAGCAUGUAGAGGAUGAUCACGGUUCAUAAGGUAGUUUAACCAAUUGAUGGCAUUAAUACAAUCCCCCUACAUAAUGAGGCGGUCCAAUUCCAACAUCCAUGGUUAUAUGACCUCCUUAAAAGUGGUUACUACAAGCAGUUCUGCAUAAGUGACAUCCUAAUGCUCAAUUAGCUUUACCACGGCAAGAACUAGCUGGCCAUUAUGAUCCCAAAAAACUGCACGAAGGCCUGUGCGAUUGGAUGGCUAUAACAUGACAUUAAAAUGUAUCUUCAGCCAACCUGUAGGGGGGAACCAAAGUGUAUGUGGUGGCAGCCCAGAGGGUUGAACGGUGCUCCAUUGCUACAUAACUUGCAUAAAAUAAGGUUACAGUAACAAGGCGAGGAUGGUGGCAGCAAU